AUGAUGAGGAGAUUAUUGAGGGUCUCAUCGAGCCAAAGCUCGAAGGAAAAUGCACUGAAGCCUAAGUAUAAUUUGCCACGCACCACGGAGAUUCGGGCGUGUGAAUGGCCUUCUGAUGAUUUCUUGAGAGCAGCCGGUAUCUAUGAAGAUUUUCAUGAAUUGGCUCACAAUGCAGGCCUCACUGCUUUCCUCCACGACCAAUGCGAUCAGUAUCUCUUACUCACAAAUACCUUUGUGCAAAACUUUCAUUUUCAUUCUAGGAACUCACCACCUACGGUGGAGUUUCAUUUAUAUGAUGAGCAUAAGGAGAUGUCACUUUAUGAUUUCUGUCGGAUUUGUUUAGUCCCUUUUGAGGGAAAGACAAAAGAACCACAUCAUGAUGAUGUGGCUGGGUUUAUUGAUAAUAUCACUGUAGGAGAAACCAGGAAGGUUUCCGACGCACGAAUCACUAGCAUACAUUUUCCUGUUUUGCGUUACUUUGCAUUAUUUGCUAGUCGUUGUUUAAUUGGACGCGGAAAUUCUGGAAACCUUAGUAUCCCUGAUUUAAUUAUUCUGCUCCAAGGUUUAUACAGUGAUAACACUUUUAGUUUGGGCGGUAUUAUUGCUAGACGGUUAAAUAUGAACCGUACUAAGGGCCCCAUCUUUGGAGGCAUCUAUGCCACACGCCUAGCCGCACAUUUUAACAUACCUAUUAGGCAUGCUGAGAAGGAAGAAAAGGUGCUGCCCCAAUGUUUAUCUAGAUCAUAA
rnacentral:rRNA from 1 species